rnacentral:lncRNA from 1 species
UUCAGUGCUAAUGACAGUCACAAUAAGGAACCAGCAAUUCAGUGCUGGAGGAUGCUGCUGAGGAAACAUUGACAUGAGGGCAGUACGGACUGGAAAACUUGGAGGGCACCAACGAUUCAGUCACUUCGGGCAUAUGUACAAGGAGAUUUGGGCAACUCUGAAAUAAUUCCUCUGGCAAACUUUCUAAAUCCUGGGUGAAUACUGAAGGCAGGCUGGAUGAUUGU